AUAUUGUUUUAACUCUAUCGUCUUCUCAAAUCUCUUAUUUCUUUCAGUUACAGUUCUUUGCUUGACCUUCCCUUUUAAAAGGUCUGUAUGUUAAGCAGCUUAGAUAUUCUGAAUUCCAUCCUAGUUGGUUUAAGUGAGUAUAAAGAGGCUUAUCCUGCAGAGUCUGUCUUUCUGAAUUGAAAAAUUAGUUAUUCUACACUAAACAAAGUAGAAUUAUAGUCUUUUCAAAGGCCUGUGCCAGAUAACACAAAAAGUUUGCUUACAUAAAAAGUUUGCAAAAACACUGAAGCUUUGCUAGUUAUUUGUUGAGAUUUGGCCAAACCAAUUCUCUUGUCACAUUUUAGGGCUAACCCUCGAGAAAGGUCUAUCCAGUUGUGAGGACUUUAUCUGACUAGGAUCUUACAGAAAACAGGAACAGCUGUUGAGCAGGAAAGACAGAAGACUAUUUUCAGUGUUGUGGAUGAAAGGAUUCUUGGUGCCAUGGAGCUGGAAGACAAAACACCACAAAGAUUUAAAUAAACAAAUAAUUUAGACUAAUGGUACAUGAUAGUAUAGUGGAAAGAACCUGAGUUUAAAUUACAGCUAAAGAGAUCAAAGUGCUUAUCUGCCCUUAAGUAGCCAUAGGAUCAUCAGAUCCUAUGAAAGUUAUUUAAGGCUCUCUGAGGAGUGGUUUCCCCAUCUGUAGAAGAAUAGCAUCUCUGCAUCUCUCUAAGCACUAAAGUUCAUAUUUCUUUUCCUCAUGCUAUUUAAAUUUUCCUGUUUUCCAGUGAAGUGGUCUGGCGCAUCAGAUGAAACAGUUAAGUCUAUUUUGCUUUCUAACUUUGAUGUGCAAGUGUCUUUUGGGUUCUCUAAGGGUAAAAGUGAGCCAGGUAGUGAUCUUUGCAUUUCAACCUUUUUUGACGUUAAAUGAUUUCUUUUCAGAUUGUUAGAUGAACUUGACACUAUUUUGUUUUCGCUUUGGGGAUGAGAUCCUGUAGUCCUAUUAGGUGCAACACAUACAUAAAAAUGACUUUAAAUAUAUAGUGUCACAAAAUUCUAAUGGAAAUAUAUAUUUGAAAUUGUUAUCCAGGAGAAGAGUUCUUAUUUAUGUUUUCCCAUUCUAUUGGCACUAUACAAGUAACAUUUUCCUAGUUCGACUGUCGUGGUUUGGAUUUAGAUACUUUUCCUACUGAAGAUGAUAUGCUCUACAUUUUAAAUGUAUUUCCAAUAUUGUAAUAAACUAUUUUGUGCUUUAGACAUUUUCUA